rnacentral:rRNA from 1 species
GACGAACGCUGGCGGCGUGCCUAAUACAUGCAAGUCGAACGCAGUGGGGACGGGUGUGUAACACGUGGGUAACCUCCCAUCAGAGGGGAUAACACUUGGAAACAGGUGCUCAACCGAUACUGCUGGAUGAACCCGCGGUGCAUUAGCGAGUUGGUGAGUUACAGGCUCAUCAAGGCCACGAUGCAUAGCCGACCUGAGAGGGUGAUCGGCCAAACUAGAACUGAGACACGGCCCAGACUCCUACGUGAGGCAGCAGUAGGGAAUCUGCGGCAAUGGACGAAAGUCUGACCGAGCGACGCCGCGUGAGUGAAGAAGGUUUUCGGAUCGUAAAACUCUGUUGUUAGAGAAGCGGUAUCUAACCAGAAAGCCACGGCUAACUACGUGCCAGCAGCCGCGGUAAUGC